rnacentral:rRNA from 1 species
CACGUAGGGGGCGAGCGUUGUCCGGAAUCAUUGGGCGUAAAGAGCUCGUAGGCGGCUCAGUAAGUCGGGUGUGAAACCCCCAGGCUCAACCUGGGGACGCCACCCGAUACUGCUGUGGCUAGAGUCCAGUAGGGGAGUGUGGAAUUCCCGGUGUAGCGGUGAAAUGCGUAGAUAUCAGGAGGAACACCGGUGGCGAAGGCGGGCCUCUGGGCAACUACUGACGCUGAGGAGCGAAAGCGUGGGGAGCGAACAGG